rnacentral:rRNA from 1 species
GAGGAGCCCAGAGCCUGAAUCAGUGUGUGUGUUAGUGGAAGCGUCUGGAAAGGCGUGCGAUACAGGGUGACAGCCCCGUACACAAAAAUGCACAUAUUGUGAGCUCGAUGAGUAGGGCGGGACACGUGGUAUCCUGUCUGAAUAUGGGGGGACCAUCCUCCAAGGCUAAAUACUCCUGACUGACCGAUAGUGAACCAGUACCGUGAGGGAAAGGCGAAAAGAACCCCGGCGAGGGGAGUGAAAAAGAACCUGAAACCGUGUACGUACAAGCAGUGGGAGCCUCUUAAUGGGGUGACUGCGUACCUUUUGUAUAAUGGGUCAGCGACUUAUAUUCUGUAGCAAGGUUAACCGAAUAGGGGAGCCGAAGGGAAACCGAGUCUUAACUGGGCGUUAAGUUGCAGGGUAUAGACCCGAAACCCGGUGAUCUAGCCAUGGGCAGGUUGAAGGUUGGGUAACACUAACUGGAGGACCGAACCGACUAAUGUUGAAAAAUUAGCGGAUGACUUGUGGCUGGGGGUGAAAGGCCAAUCAAACCGGGAGAUAGCUGGUUCUCCCCGAAAGCUAUUUAGGUAGCGCCUCGUGAAUUCAUCUCCGGGGGUAGAGCACUGUUUCGGCAAGGGGGUCAUCCCGACUUACCAACCCGAUGCAAACUGCGAAUACCGGAGAAUGUUAUCACGGGAGACACACGGCGGGUGCUAACGUCCGUCGUGAAGAGGGAAACAACCCAGACCGCCAGCUAAGGUCCCAAAGUCAUGGUUAAGUGGGAAACGAUGUGGGAAGGCCCAGACAGCCAGGAUGUUGGCUUAGAAGCAGCCAUCAUUUAAAGAAAGCGUAAUAGCUCACUGGUCGAGUCGGCCUGCGCGGAAGAUGUAACGGGGCUAAACCAUGCACCGAAGCUGCGGCAGCGACACUAUGUGUUGUUGGGUAGGGGAGCGUUCUGUAAGCCUGUGAAGGUGGCCUGUGAGGGUUGCUGGAGGUAUCAGAAGUGCGAAUGCUGACAUAAGUAACGAUAAAGCGGGUGAAAAGCCCGCUCGCCGGAAGACCAAGGGUUCCUGUCCAACGUUAAUCGGGGCAGGGUGAGUCGACCCCUAAGGCGAGGCCGAAAGGCGUAGUCGAUGGGAAACAGGUUAAUAUUCCUGUACUUGGUGUUACUGCGAAGGGGGGACGGAGAAGGCUAUGUUGGCCGGGCGACGGUUGUCCCGGUUUAAGCGUGUAGGCUGGUUUUCCAGGCAAAUCCGGAAAACCAAGGCUGAGGCGUGAUGACGAGGCACUACGGUGCUGAAGCGACAAAUGCCCUGCUUCCAGGAAAAGCCUCUAAGCAUCAGGUAACAUCAAAUCGUACCCCAAACCGACACAGGUGGUCAGGUAGAGAAUACCAAGGCGCUUGAGAGAACUCGGGUGAAGGAACUAGGCAAAAUGGUGCCGUAACUUCGGGAGAAGGCACGCUGAUAUGUAGGUGAAGCGACUUGCUCGUGGAGCUGAAAUCAGUCGAAGAUACCAGCUGGCUGCAACUGUUUAUUAAAAACACAGCACUGUGCAAACACGAAAGUGGACGUAUACGGUGUGACGCCUGCCCGGUGCCGGAAGGUUAAUUGAUGGGGUUAGCGGUAACGCGAAGCUCUUGAUCGAAGCCCCGGUAAACGGCGGCCGUAACUAUAACGGUCCUAAGGUAGCGAAAUUCCUUGUCGGGUAAGUUCCGACCUGCACGAAUGGCGUAAUGAUGGCCAGGCUGUCUCCACCCGAGACUCAGUGAAAUUGAACU